CCUUAACAGGGUCCACUGAGGAUGGAUUUCAGGCUGAAGCUCUCCCUGGUGCUCAAAGUUCCAGCAAUCAAGGUCUUGGUUCAGUUAAGGUCCCUUCCCCCAAGUAAGGUGUCAUUGUCCUCAAAAGCAGCUUUAUCCUUGUAGAAGGAGGGUGCCAGAUGCUGUCGGGUUUCCCCUGUCUCCUUCCCCAUCCACCCUCUAAUAGCUGAACCUAGCUCUUAUGGCUCCUGGCCUACUCUAGAGACUGUGGAUCCUCAAGUAGUAGAUCCUGCUGGGAAGGACUGUCAGGCUCAGGACUGGAGCCCAGGAGAUGUGGGAGCUUUGAAUGCUCGGGAGCUAAACCUGGCCUUAGCAGACUGACUGUGCCUUUUCCAAAGCCGCAUCCUUCUCCGACUCAUGAUAUAUCCGAGGCACGUGUCAAAGUCCACAUAAGACAAUGGCUUUGCUAUUGUCAACACCAGCAACUCAUAGGCAACGCCAGACCCAGCCUCUUCUGUCCAUCAGCUUGCUGCUGUACUGCAGAAUAACUACUUCAGUGCUGCUUAGGAGUUGAAGGAUUCCUGAUGUCUUCUGCAGCCUCUGGUGAGAAAUCUCUUCCAGAGCUUCAGACUUCUCAGCUGUAUACCCACCAUGACCUGAUUACUUGGAAAGCACCACUCUGCCCUAAGUUGCUCCCCAAGUGGCGUCUUGUAGCCAAGAAACCUCUGGCACUCUUAAUGCACCUUUGAGAACGGUGUCUCCUCAGACUGUUGUACCCACAGAGGCUUCAUACACAGUGAUGAGAAGAAUGUGCCUGUUGGAGACUGGGACUGGCCGUAGUUCACAGGGGAGCCUGGAGCUGAGCGCUGGGCAUCACCCUGCUCGGGAUUUGAGUAUGGUCAUUAGAGUUCUGUCUGGAGCUGGGUGGCCUGGGGC
ensembl:lncRNA